UUACAGACUUUUGGCUCUACUGAGACUGGAAGAAAAUCGUUGAGAGCCACAGUAGGAGACAUUUGGAAAUAAAUGUUUUGCACAGGCUGAGAUCAUGAAUCACAGAAUCGCUGAAUGGUUGAGUUUGGAAGGGAUCUCUGACAGUUCUCUGGUCCAACCUCAGUGCUACAGCAGGGCUUCCCAGAGCAGGUUGCCCAGGACCAUGUUGAGGUGGCUUCUGAAUGUCUCCAAAGAGGAGACUCCACAGAGUCUUUGGGCUGUGACAGUUGUCCAUCAUUUUGUCUGUGAAGAAAUGUAUCCGGAUGUUCAAAGGAACCUCCUGCAUUUCAGUUUGUGUUCAUCUUGUCACUGGGCAGUACUGGAAACAGACUGACUCCAUCCUCUUUACAUCCUCCCUUCAGAUCUGUGGCAGCAGCCCCUGCAAAACCUGGAAACAGAAGCACUCAGAAGCUGAUAGUAAGAAGCAAUUGGACAAAGUGGGAAAUACCAGGCAGUUUUCUCUUUCAGAAAGAUGUAUAAUAGCUGUUACAGGGGAAUCUGACCAAAAUUCCAUGUAAGCACCAUAUAAUUUCUAAAGAAUCUACAACUUGGUAUGUGUUCACUCAGCAGAGGACAGAGAGAGAGGGAAAAAAGCAAUGUUUGAUCAAGAUUACCUUGAAGACAAAUGCUGCUUUGGAAGAGGAACCUACAGAUGAAAGGGCUUGUAUGUUUUUGAUUCAACAAAAAUGAUUCCUGUUUCUUGAGUGAAAGCAUCUCCAGAAAUGUUUGAUGCCUCAACCACCUGUGAAGGAAAGCCUGAAUGUUCUUCCCAUCAUCAGCCUAAGGCUAGUUUGGCAAAAAUAUUUCUGAUACAGCUAAAGAAAUGUACGCCUCAUACAGCAUCUUGAAAUACACCUCAGCACAAUCAAAGCCUGAGAAGAGGAAGACAGAAUAUAACAGGCUUUCUACAUGCUAAAGCUUGGUCUGCAAAAAGAACUAAGGAAGCUAAGAAAGCUGUGAAGUAAUGAACAUCCUCUGUCGUGCAAGAAGGAAGGUAUUACCGAAGAUAAUGCACUGUAUCCAGGCAGAAGCACUACAAAAAGAUCAAACAUUCCACUUCAUCAUCCACAAAUACUUUGAUGCUACCAUAGGCAAGAAGAAUAGAGGAAAAGAAGCAAAAGGACACUUUAAAAUAGAAUACAGAAAAGAAAGAGAUUAUACACUGAACUGCUAUAAAUUACUGCCGGUAAAGCUGAGAAAUCCCAAAACACUAGAGAUGUAGCAAUCUGGUAAUGCAAGUAGAGAUUUAAACUUCAUCGAACAACCUUACCUCCCCCCGUGUAUUCUUGGAGAAAUAUACUCCCUGCUGUUCACAUAUUAGUUUCACGAGGAAGAGAAAUGUGAGGGUGGCCAACAAAUAAGCUAUUCACAGUUAUAUGAGUAUGAUUUACCCAAGUGUGAAUGCACUCAUGGGAGAACUGACAGGCAAGCCCCAAUUAGUUUACAAAAAAUUAUUUAAAAGCAACACCUCACAGUUGAGGUAUAAGUAAUCUCAAAGUCAGCUUUUAUCUUUUUACUUUCUAUCUCAUGAAUUUAGAGUUUUGCUUUUUUUAAACAGCAAGUGGAUAAUGAUAUCUCCUAAUAAUUUCCUUAAUUAUUCAUUCAAAUAGUAAAUGUUAAUUUCUUUCAGGCUGAGCACUUUCUCUGAGGUAAAGCAUCACUGUUGUUGCUUCUCUUCAUCCUCCUGCAACAUAAGGAUGUAUCUUCUUCAUUUUGUAGCAUCUCAGUACUUCUUUGCAUAA
ensembl:lncRNA